rnacentral:lncRNA from 1 species
CCUGGUUCUAUGCUCUGUCCACUCUAACUUGGCAGUAAAUGUAAACAAACAUAGGUUGAUGUUCUGUUUGCACUAGUGAUAUUGUAAUAACAAUGUUUUAUAUUUUGCAAGUGUAGUAAGUUGAGAGCAAUAUCAUAUUACAAUUUUUUUCGAUGCUGUUUUUUGUCAAAGAUCAGGUAUAUUUAAAUAUUGUAAGUAUUACAGUUGAACUUGCUGGUAUUAUCCAGAAUUUUCUCUUCAUCAAUGUUGUAUUUGUAAAGACAUCUAUUGAUAUGGGUGAUAGUAGUUUCAAUUCUACUCAUGUUGUAACACAUAAGCAAGAAAAGCCUUUAAGAAGUAGUCAGAAAAUAACAUUUCGAAAACAUUAAGAAUUGUCAAGUGAUAAACAUCCAACUUUACCUGUUGAUAAUGUCAUGAAGAAAGCAGUUGAACUUACUGGUCUGUCUAAGAAAGAGUGACAAAAGGGCAGCUAUGACUCCUAAUAAGGAAAAGCAAAGUGUGCUAGAUAACAUUUAUGACAAUUUUGUAAGGUCAGCAACAAAGUGCACA